rnacentral:rRNA from 1 species
GUCCACGCCGUAACGAUGGGUGCUAGGUGUAGGGUGGUCGACUCCUCUGUGCCGAAGCUAACGCAUUAAGCACCCGCCUGGGAGGUACGGCCGCAAGGCUAAACUACAAGGAAUUGACGGGGCCCGGCACAAGCAGCGGAGCAUGUGGUUUAAUUCGACGCGACGCGAAGAACCUUACCUGGGCUUGACAUGCACGGGAAUGUCGUAGAAAUACGGCAGCCCUUCGGGGCUCGUGCACAGGUGUUGCAUGGCUGUCGU